GUAAAAGCAUCUGCGCAUGAAAAAAAGCCCUCUGAGAACAAUCUGCUUUGGGAGGGAAGGAACAAAGAGGUGUCGAUUGCCAUCCUUAGGGAGCCGACAGUCCUGCUGGGCAGAUAAGGUCCUGCUUUCCUUUGCUUGGAUGUGUCCUUCAACAUGACAGAGGAGACAAUCCCACACGCUCUACCCCCUACAAGCCACUGUUGAAGCUCAUCAACUCCAGUGGAAAGAGGAUUUCUUCUCUUCAAUGUCUAUUUGUUAAUUUCAGAGAAGACUCCAAACAGCUGAGCUAGUUAGUAGUUCAUGCCUAGACCAAUAAGAGUACCAAAGUCAUGGGUCCUUUUAUGAGAGGCCCAUUCAUAGUCACAUGCCAUGGAAUAGGAGAUCAUAAUUAAAAUUCCUGGUAUGAGGAAAGAGGUCAGCUGCCUCCACCCAACCCUGCAAAGGAGUGAUGGAGAGAGAAAAGCCAACAUGUGACCACAGUGAGUCCCGCCAAAGACUUUCCUUUAUUCUUCAUUCUCAGUGACCUGCCAAUGACUCCCAAAUGGAUGAGAUACUUACCAACAAUAGCAAAAUCUCAUUACUGCUCAAGUGCAAAUCGAUGUGUACAGCACUGGCCUAGAGGGCUGUCGAGCAGAGCUCAGAUCUGCAAGAGCCCUCCCUAAUUAGAAUGAGUCUUAGAGGACA